GCAACUACACACAAAAGAUUUUAAGUACUGAACUAUCAACGCUCAAGUACGUUAAACGUAAUAAGCGGGUGUGCUUUUUUACCCAUAUCUCGCUGAAUAUAACUAACACGUUUAAAAAUGACUGAGGAGAUUGAUUUAGCUGGUGAACAAUUUGGAGACCAAGACGAAGAGAAAGAGAACAACAACGAUGUUAAUUUAAUCAUCCCAAACCGAUCCUCAAGUAGGGCUCCAAGCAGAGCAAAGAGUCGUGGAAGCAUCGGUGACCAACGCAAGACUAUUAGUAGAGCAGCCAGCAGUCAAGCCUCAAGACCAGGCAGCAGGCUAUCUGAAAAAGAUGAGGUUGAGGAGAAGAAGCGGGCUGCCUCCCAGCAAACAUUUGUUAGUGAUGCCUCUGCAGGAUGGGACACAGAUCUUGAGGUUGAAGGUACUAUCACAGCUAUGAAAAUGAAGGUUCGUGAAUCAUAUGAUGCUUCAGGCAGAACAACAUACAUUGAGGCCUGUCGUAUCAAUGGUGUUAUACCAGUAUCGUACGUCUUACGUCAUAUCACAGACGCUGAGUUAACGAUGAAGCAUCAUGGUCUAGGACCAGCUGGGGCAAAGGCCCUUGCAAUAGCCCUUGUGUCAAAUACAACAAUCAGCAAGUUAAAUCUUGGUGACAACUGGCUGGAUGCUAGUGGUGGUGAAGCUAUUGGUGACAUGUUAAAAGAAAACUGCUACAUUACAGAUUUGGAUUUAUCAGAGAACAGAUUGGGUAACCAAGGUGCUAGAGCAUUAUGUGAUAUGCUUCUGAACAAUGCAACAUUAACACAUGUAACACUAUCAGGAAAUGGCUUUGAAGAUAAAAGUGCUGAAUCAUUUGCAGAGGUUAUACUAGGUAACAGCAAGUUGGAAUAUCUGAACCUAAGUCACAAUGAAUUUAGCGAGAGUGCGGGGUUGAUCCUGGGACCAGCUAUAGCUGAGAACAUCAACAUCAAACACAUUGACUUAAGCUGGAAUCACAUUAGGAGGAAAGGAGCUCUGGCAUUAGCCAAGGGAAUCAUGAAUAACAUCGGUUUAAAGAAAGUUGAUUUGUCUUGGAAUGGUUUUGGGAAUGAAGGUGCACAAGCAAUUGGAGAAGCUCUUAAAUUAAAUAGUUCACUGGAGGAACUAGACAUUACAAACAACCGAAUACCAGCAGAGGGCGCCAUAUUAAUCAGCAAAGGUCUAGCUGUUAAUGAAAGUCUCAAAGUUUUGAAGAUUGGCAAAAAUCCUAUGCAGACCGCUGGUUGUUAUGGUAUUGUGAAAGCUUGUAAAGACAAUGCAAAUACAGCGAUUGAAAGCAUAGAAUUCCUUAACAUUCAGGUUAAUAAAGAUUUUGAUGAGUUAUUUAAAGAACUGAAGGAGUUAAGACCAGACAUGAAAGUGAAGCAUGGCGGUAUGCAGGAGGAGGUCAAACCAAAGGCUAGACUCAACCCCAUGGUGAAAUUAUACCGCUACAUUCAAAAGAACAACUUACGAUUCAUGGACUUUUUCAAUAAAGUAGACAAAGAUGGAAGUAUGAGUGUCACUUACGAUGAGUUUGAGGAGGGACUCAAGGAAAUUGGUAUUGACUUAAAUCAAGAAGAGAUAGCCUGGCUGAUUAAUGAGUUUGAUCGUGAUGGAGAUGGUGAUAUUAAUUACAGCAAAAUACCUAUGCUUGUAGAGUUAUUUAUAUACAAGAUAAAAUAGUAUAAUGUUGAUGGUGAAGUGUUCUUAGCAUUUACCAAGAUAGAGGGCUGAGUGAACUUGUGAUGGGUAAUUAUGACAAGUCUGGUUCUUCGGUCAUUUGAUGCUGUAGGAGAAAUUGAAAUUAUGUCAAAUUGAUCAAUGACCUACUAGAGGUCAUAGUAGGCAGCCAAUGUGACAUUCCACCUCAAUCACAUUUUUCAGUAACAAGUAUUUCAACCAAUUUGACAGGAUUACAAUAUGCACUUUACAUAAACAAAUUCUCGUUAAAGUGCAGGGUAGGGAAGGUAAUAUUAAUUGUGGAAUAAAUCCACCACUAAAAUUCUAGUAAAAUUUAGAGGAAUCAAACCUGCACCUUCAUGGUUGGAAGCUGUGUGAUACCACUAUCACCGAAAUAUGACUUCCUCUUUGAUCUGUCUUUGGUGCUCUUUUGUCUAAGCUAAACCAUCAAUGUUAGAUAUAUUUUUACAAGAAAGUAAAUGUGUAUGUUUUAAUUGCUAGGACAGUCUUUUUGUAUUACUCCAUCAUAAAUUUGUAAAUGAAUAAUAUAUUUUGGAGAAUUUGCUUUUACAUGUACUGUAUAUAUUGAGGGGAUCACGUACUGUAAAUGGGGGUUGUGUGGAAAGGGGAAUGGGGUGCAUGUGUGUGAUAUAACAUAUAGUAGUGUCUAUUGCCAAUUCUUCCUUACGGCAUAAUCUGUUUUGAUAUGCUGUGAAAUAUACGUUGCAGUCUCCAGUCUUCUGUAGUGCUAUAGUAACUUUAUUAUUUUUGUUAAAUAAUAUUUAAAUGAUCAUAUUUUAAAGCUACAUUUUUCUGUAUCUGUAUGGUCUCAUGCAAACACCUUCUGAGGUUGUCGUCGCACGUAAGUUGGGGUCAGGUGUGCAAGGAAUUAUCUUUUUUGGUUUUUAUGAAGUUUUCUUAGGCUAUAAUCUUCCAAAUACAGUUAUCAAUGAUGCAAAGAAUAUUUUACCGUCAGAAAGAGAUUCCAAUGAAUUUAUGCCACCAAUCUAUAUUAAAAUAUGUAUAUAUGUAUAUGUAUAUUGUAUAUAUUUUGUUUGAUGCAAUUAAAAUAUGACAUGUACGUAAA